rnacentral:lncRNA from 1 species
CUAUCAAAAGGGAAGGCAUCAUUAAUGCACUAGAGAUAAUUGAUAAUAUGUAGGUUCGAGAUGAUGAUAGUGAGACAUCCGAUCCUUAGAUUCCAGAUUGCCUAGAUCAUCUUGUGAUAAUAGUGAUGAUGAUAGUGAUGGCAAGAGUAAUGAUAAAUUUGAUGAUCAUGAUGAUCAGUCUAGAGGGAGUGGUGAAGCAUAUGAGAUCAGGUCUUUUAUUGAAGAAGCAUAUUUUAUCAUGUUAUACAGGAUCGGGACCAUAGAGCCAGAUGUAUAUCUAGAUA